rnacentral:rRNA from 1 species
AGCGGCGGACGGGUGAGUAACGCGUGGGUAACCUGCCCUGUACACACGGAUAACAUACCGAAAGGUAUGCUAAUACGAGAUAAUAUGCUUUUAUCGCAUGGUAGAAGUAUCAAAGCUCCGGCGGUACAGGAUGGACCCGCGUCUGAUUAGCUAGUUGGUAAGGUAACGGCUUACCAAGGCGACGAUCAGUAGCCGACCUGAGAGGGUGAUCGGCCACAUUGGAACUGAGACACGGUCCAAACUCCUACGGGAGGCAGCAGUGGGGAAUAUUGCACAAUGGGCGAAAGCCUGAUGCAGCAACGCCGCGUGAGCGAUGAAGGCCUUCGGGUCGUAAAGCUCUGUCCUCAAGGAAGAUAAUGACGGUACUUGAGGAGGAAGCCCCGGCUAACUACGUGCCAGCAGCCGCGGUAAUACGUAGGGGGCUAGCGUUAUCCGGAAUUACUGGGCGUAAAGGGUGCGUAGGUGGUUUCUUAAGUCAGAGGUGAAAGGCUACGGCUCAACCGUAGUAAGCCUUUGAAACUGGGAAACUUGAGUGCAGGAGAGGAGAGUGGAAUUCCUAGUGUAGCGGUGAAAUGCGUAGAUAUUAGGAGGAACACCAGUUGCGAAGGCGGCUCUCUGGACUGUAACUGACACUGAGGCACGAAAGCGUGGGGAGCAAACAGGAUUAGAUACCCUGGUAGUCCACGCCGUAAACGAUGAGUACUAGCUGU